CUCCUUUCCGUAUCCUUCCUGUCCAUAUAUUUCAGGCAACAGCGCCGCCUUCCACUUGUCACCACAGACCGUCGAAUUAUACCUUCAUAAUCCUCUUCCCAUCAUCUUUCCGAUCCUCAAGUUAGUUUCUACAAAUUCAUAGCCAAAUUUCUUCAAUUUCAGAUCUAAGAAACAUAUGAUUUUGUUCGGGUUUUGUGUGUUUUGCAGGUAUGAGAGCGGCGUACGGGUCGGCGAAGAGAGAAGUAGCAGUGGCGUCGAUGGGUGAUGAGGCCCGAGCUGGUGAUGAAGCCGAUUGUUUCUCUCGGUGACGCACGACACAAACGGUCUCGCCUCCGUCCUAUCCUCAUCUCGCUGCCGAUUCCCUUCUAUCGCCUCCGUCGCCAUUCUUAUCCUUUUUCCACCUACCUUAACUUGCUGUAGCUAACGAGACACGAUAGUCUUAGAGCUGUUGAACCCGUCCAGCUCCACCUCGAACUGCGGCGGCGUCCUCCAGCUCUGCUUCUUCACACGAGCCUGAGCUUAAAGGAGAUUGUGAAAAACUGCGCUCAGGUCCUCCCCAACGAAGCCGUCAAUGGACUCCUCGCCCAAGCAAAGCACAAAUCUUUGUGUUCUUCACUUCAGCCAGUUUCGUAUUACAGGGUCAGAUUUGAAUGGGGGAGUUGCUGCGAUUAUAGGAGAGCUUGAUCAUGGUGAUGCAGGUACAAGAAAAAUGGAUGCUUGGGGUACUUGGCGGGGCCAUUCAAAACAACCCAGUUGUUCAGAAGCAGGCAAUCAUUUUUUUACCCUCUCUAUACGCGAUGGCCACAUCGAAACCCAUCAACCACCAAAGCCACCCUGACCAGGUUGCCGACUCGAACAUGAGAAAAGAACUGUGCGGGUUCACUUAAAACCUUAAUAUUUGAUGUUCUUA